rnacentral:rRNA from 1 species
AGCUCCAAUAGCGUAUAUUAAAGUUGCUGCAGUUAAAAAGCUCGUAGUUGCAUUUCCGAGGCAAGGGAUUAGUCCGACCUUUGGUGGGUAUUUAAUCCUCUUGCCUCGUCCUUGAGUGGUGCUUCUUGGUAUUAAGUUAUCGAGGAGAUAGCCGCUCAUCGUUUACUGUGAGAAAAUUAGAGUGUUCAAAGCAGGCUUAUGCCGUUGAAUAUAUUAGCAUGGAAUAAUAAGAUAGGACCUCGGUACUAUUUUGUUGUUUUGAGAACCAAGGUAAUGAUGAAUAGGGACAGUUGGGGGUAUUCGUAUUCAGUUGUCAGAGGUGAAAUUCUUAGAUUUACGGAAGACGAACUACUGCGAAAGCAUUUACCAAGGAUGUUGUCA